rnacentral:rRNA from 1 species
UGGGGAAUCUUGCGCAAUGGGCGAAAGCCUGACGCAGCGACGCCGCGUGCGGGAAGAAGGCCUUCGGGUUGUAAACCGCUUUCAGGAGGGACGAAGCCACUCGGGUUAAUAGCCCAGAGGGUGACGGUACCUCCAGAAGAAGCCCCGGCUAACUACGUG